UUCCAGACUCCUACGGGAGGCAGCAGUCGAGAAUCAUUCACAAUGGGGGAAACCCUGAUGGUGCGACGCCGCGUGGGGGAAUGAAGGUCUUCGGAUUGUAAACCCCUGUCAUGUGGGAGCAAAUUAAAAAGAUAGUACCACAAGAGGAAGAGACGGCUAACUCUGUGCCAGCAGCCGCGGUAAUACAAAGGUCUCAAGCGUUGUUCGGAAUCACUGGGCGUAAAGCGUGCGUAGGCUGUUUCGUAAGUCGUGUGUGAAAGGCGCGGGCUCAACCCGCGGACGGCACAUGAUACUGCGAGACUAGAGUAAUGGAGGGGGAACCGGAAUUCUCGGUGUAGCAGUGAAAUGCGUAGAUAUCGAGAGGAACACUCGUGGCGAAGGCGGCCUGCUGGACCGCGACUGACGUUGAGGCUCGAAAGCGUGGGGAGCGAACAGGAUUAGAUACCCCGGUA
rnacentral:rRNA from 1 species